CGGCACGCUUAACACAUGCAAGUCGAACGGGAUCUUCGGAUUUAGUGGCAGACGGGUGAGUAACGCGUGGGAACCUGCCCAGUAGUAGAGAAUAACUUGAGGAAACUUAAGCUAAUACUUUAUACACCCUUCGGGGAAAAGCUUUAUGCGCUAUUGGAUGGGCCCGCGUUAGAUUAGUUUGUUGGUGAGGUAAUGGCUCACCAAGACUACGAUCUAUAGCUGGUCUGAGAGGAUGAUCAGCCACACUGGGACUGAGACACGGCCCAGACUCCUACGGGAGGCAGCAGUGGGGAAUAUUGGACAAUGGGGGCAACCCUGAUCCAGCGAUGCCGCGUGAGUGAUGAAGGCCUUCGGGUUGUAAAACUCUUUCGUCAGGGAAGAUAAUGACGGUACCUGAAGAAGAAGAUCCGGCUAACUCCGUGCCAGCAGCCGCGGUAAUACGGAGGGAUCUAGCGUUAUUCGGAAUUACUGGGCGUAAAGCGAGCGUAGGCGGAUUUGUAAGUUGGAGGUGAAAUCCCAGAGCUUAACUCUGGAACUGCCUUCAAAACUACAUUUCUUGAGUUUGGUAGAGGAGAGUGGAAUUCCUAGUGUAGAGGUGAAAUUCGUAGAUAUUAGGAGGAACACCAGUGGCGAAGGCGACUCUCUGGGCCAAUACUGACGCUGAGGUUCGAAAGCAUGGGUAGCGAACAGGAUUAGAUACCCUGGUAGUCCAUGCAGUAAACGAUGAGUGCUAGAUGUUGGGAAUUUAAAUUUCCAGUAUCGCAGUUAACGCGUUAAGCACUCCGCCUGG
rnacentral:rRNA from 1 species